GUGCCAGCAGCCGCGGUAAGACGAACCGUGCGAACGUUGUUCGGAAUCACUGGGCUUAAAGGGCGCGUAGGCGGCUUGCCAAGUCAGGGGUGAAAUCCAGCAGCUUAACUGUUGAAGUGCCUUUGAUACUGGCGAGCUCGAGGGAGGUAGGGGUCUGUGGAACUUCUGGUGGAGCGGUGAAAUGCGUUGAUAUCAGAAGGAACGCCGGUGGCGAAAGCGACGGACUGGACCUCUUCUGACGCUGAGGCGCGAAAGCUAGGGGAGCAAACGGGAUUAGAUACCCCCGUAGUCC
rnacentral:rRNA from 1 species